AAAACAUAGAACAUGAAAGGUAUAUAAGCUAGCCAUAAAAAAGUGCCUCGAUUUGUAACCUCUUGCCACACAUUUUAUAUCAAUCCACACCAAUUAAUAUCAUUAUGCUAGCCAUUCAGAGUGCUGUUCUUAUUAAUGAAGAUAGCCAGCGAAUUGUGAAUCAUCGCAGAGAGAAUAAUGUCAGUUCAUAUAAAGUAAAAUCAUUUAUCAAGCAGCUAAAGGCAGAGAUUCUUGUCUCUUCUGACAGAGACGCAGAGCGUGAAAACGGCCAAGAUAUUUAUCACAUAGAAGAACAAGCUUAAUCUUACAAAUGAAGCUAAAACAUUGCUCAACAAUUGAAGCUGGCUGUUGAAAGCAAUGCGGAUACAGAAUCGAUGAUGGUUAGACACAAUGCGAUCAGCACUAUUUGAAGUGGGCCACAUUUUCAGCUUGUGUUACGCACUCAAUUAACGUCAGUUUGGGCCAUAAUGACAGCCACUCGGGCUUGGGCUGCGGGCCAACAGACCAGCAUCUCUAUUAUUGUGCACACUUCACGCUUGAUAUCAUUGAAGUAGACAUGUUUUGUAUUGGCCAUAUCCUUAAGCCCAGCUUCAGAAAUUCCCAUCUGAUGACGUACAGGUUGGCUAAUUAUAGAAAUUCUAUUGCCAAGCAAAUAAAUAAUUUAUUUAUAAAUCCGA